rnacentral:rRNA from 1 species
UACGGAGGGUGCGAGCGUUGUCCGGAAUCACUGGGCGUAAAGGGCGCGUAGGCGGCAGGCCAAGCGUGCGGUGAAAGUCCGGGGCUCAACCCCCGGAUCUGCCGUGCGGACUGGUUUGCUAGAGCACUGUAGAGGCGAGUGGAAUUCCGGGUGUAGCGGUGGAAUGCGUAGAGAUCCGGAAGAACACCGGUGGCGAAGGCGGCUCGCUGGGCAGUGGCUGACGCUGAGGAGCGAAAGCAUGGGGAGCGAACAGGG